GGCCAGACUCCUACGGGAGGCAGCAGUGGGGAAUAUUGCACAAUGGGGGAAACCCUGAUGCAGCGACGCCGCGUGAGUGAAGAAGUAUUUCGGUAUGUAAAGCUCUAUCAGCAGGGAAGAAAAUGACGGUACCUGACUAAGAAGCCCCGGCUAACUACGUGCCAGCAGCCGCGGUAAUACGUAGGGGGCAAGCGUUAUCCGGAUUUACUGGGUGUAAAGGGAGCGUAGACGGCAGCGCAAGUCUGAAGUGAAAUCCCGUGGCGUAACCAUGGAACUGCUUUGGAAACUGUGCAGCUGGAGUGCAGGAGAGGUAAGCGGAAUUCCUAGUGUAGCGGUGAAAUGCGUAGAUAUUAGGAGGAACACCAGUGGCGAAGGCGGCUUACUGGACUGUAACUGACGUUGAGGCUCGAAAGCGUGGGGAGCAAACAGGAUUAGAUACCCCAGUAA
rnacentral:rRNA from 1 species